UAGGGAAUCUUCGGCAAUGGGACGAAAGUCUGACCGAGCAACGCCGCGUGAGUGAAGUAAGGUUUUCGGAUCGUAAACCCUGUUGGUAGAGAAGAACGUUGGUGAGAGUGGAAAGCUCAUCAAGUGACGGUAACUACCCAGAAAGGGACGGCUAACUACGUGCCAC
rnacentral:rRNA from 1 species